CGGGACGUAGCACAGCUUGGUAGUGCGCUACCUUGGGGUGGUAGAGGUCAUGAGUUCAAAUCUCAUCGUUCCGACCA
rnacentral:tRNA from 1 species